UUUCCUUCUUAGUUAGGAUCACAGUUUUAUAAAUAUGUUGUAAUCCUUUUUUGAAAUAAAUGAGAAAAUAUUUUCACAACAACAUGGUAUUAGAGCUAUUGUGAAGGAAAUUCCUAUUUCUUUUUUCUCUUUUCUAUUUUUCUAAACGUUUUUUGCUACUGAAAGAAUUGGGUCACCACCAAGGGUGACCAUCUUGUCUCACCUCCCACCCCAAACGCUAGCUGGGCCGCCGGCGACUAGCUUCCCGGAGGCCUGGUCACCAGUGGAGCCGCGCGAGAGCCACACGCGCUGAUAGAAGGAUUAACGCAGUUUCUUGUGCCAGCGCGUCAGAGCGCAUGUGCAGUCCGGUUGCCAUCCGUUUCUUUUCCGAGCACUUCCGACGGCCUCUUCUUGAAUAGGGAUAAGUUACCCAGUGUAUAGCUCCUUGAUUCUUGUGCCUUUUGUGGUUCGGAGGUUUAAAACGGUACUGUUUACACUAUUUUUUGACAACCCAAGCGUGUUGUCUUGUUUCUGAGUUAUCUCGUAUUUG
rnacentral:misc_RNA from 1 species